GACGAACGCUGGCGGCGUGCCUAAUACAUGCAAGUAGAACGGAAAGGCUCUGCUUUUGUGGGGUGCUCGAGAGGUGAAGGGGUGAGUAACACGUGAGUAACCUGCGCUUGACUUUGUGAUAACUUCAGGAAACUGGGGCUAACACCGGAUAGGAGCUCCUGCUCUAUGGUGUGGUUGGAAAGUUUCGGUGGAUGGGGAUGUACGCGCGGCUUAUCAGCUUCUUGGUGGGGUAGUGGCGUACCAAGGCUUCGACGGAUAGCCAGCCUGAGAGGGUGACCGGCCACAGUGGGACUGAGAUACGACCCGUACUGCUACGGCGGCCAGCAGCGGGAGAUUGUCCAAGAAGGGCGGCAGCCUUAUAGAAGGACGCCGGGUGCGAGAUGUCGGCCUUCAGGUUAUAAACCGCGUUCGCCUGUAACGAAGCGUGAGUGACGGUAAUGGAUAAGAAAGCACCGGCUAACUACGUG
rnacentral:rRNA from 1 species